AUUGAACGCUGGCGGCAUGCCUUACACAUGCAAGUCGAACGGCAGCACGGGGCAACCCUGGUGGCGAGUGGCGAACGGGUGAGUAAUACAUCGGAACGUGUCCUGGAGUGGGGGAUAGCCCGGCGAAAGCCGGAUUAAUACCGCAUACGCUCUAUGGAGGAAAGCGGGGGAUCUUCGGACCUCGCGCUCAAGGGGCGGCCGAUGGCGGAUUAGCUAGUUGGUAGGGUAAAGGCCUACCAAGGCGACGAUCCGUAGCUGGUCUGAGAGGACGACCAGCCACACUGGGACUGAGACACGGCCCAGACUCCUACGGGAGGCAGCAGUGGGGAAUUUUGGACAAUGGGGGCAACCCUGAUCCAGCAAUGCCGCGUGUGUGAAGAAGGCCUUCGGGUUGUAAAGCACUUUUGUCCGGAAAGAAAUCCUCUGGGUUAAUACCUCGGGGGGAUGACGGUACCGGAAG
rnacentral:rRNA from 1 species